rnacentral:lncRNA from 1 species
ACUGGCCUCAGGUUGUCACUCUUUUUCAAUUUGUUUGGUUUAGUCAAUGCCUUUCUAUCUCAGAGAGCAUGCAGGAGAUGCCAGAGAAACAGUGAAUGAGUGAAUGUCAGUUUGGGUUCUUGUGACAAGUGCCAGGAAGAGGUGUUAGUGGAACAUGGAGGGGGCACCUCAUGGUCCCCACAUGGGGUAUGAAGAGUUUUGGAAGCUUCUAGAAGGAGGUAAUGACUUGACUGGAGCUUGAAACUUGAGUUGCAACUAGAACACACAGGAUGGGUCUUGGUGGGAGGCUCUGCAUAAACAAAGGCAUGUAGGUGAUCCCCAGCCCCCGACAACUUCAGAAACCUGGGUUCAAGGACUAAUGGUGAAGCCCUCUGCCCCUAGCCCCAUAACCUCAGGUGCCUUUGAGGCAGUCAAGGUGGCAACAUCCAUCCUCUGCUCACCCCCCUUACUCCAGUGGUUACCAUGGAGCAUUUGAUUCACCUGUCAUUUGCCCCACUAUCCCACAGUGAGAUUUAUUUUUAAGUCACCUUCAAAGUCCUCCAGGCUUCCUGAUUUAGUCACCCUGUCCUCUGUGACUCUCUUGUAGAGGUAAAAUUGAGGUCCCUGGAGGACUCCAGCCCAUGAAACUCACUCGCUCAGCCUCAUUUACCCCAUUUUCGUUGCUAUUCCACUCUCCCCACCAAGUGGCAGAGGCAUCUGUUUUGGUGCUUGAGUUCUUUGCACCAGGAGUUUAGAAUAGACUUGUUUAUGUAGAAGAAAUCCAACACCUAAUGUUUCUUCCCAUGUUCCUGGUCUUUGACAAAACAAUUCUAAUUGGAUAAUAGUGUAAUAUUUCAGGGACCUAUUUAAAGACAGUUUUUUUUUCCUUUUAUUCUAGCAUAUACAGACUCCAUGCUCUAUUAAAUCUUUUUACCCCCUUGGUCACAGGUUCAUUGUUACAAGAAGGGCAGUCAGUGAAAAUUCUUUCUAGGGAGAUAUUAUGGGCUUAAUAUUUUCCAUACUUACAGAUUACAACAGAGAUUCCCUAAACAUUUUGCGUCUUCUGUGUAAGGCAUCUCAUUAUCUGGAC